AACGUAGGAGACAAACGUUAUCCGGAGUUACUGGGCGUAAAGGGCGUGCAGGCGGUUGAUUAAGUCUAGCGUGAAAGCUCCCGGCUAAACCGGGAGAGGUCGUUGGAGACUGAUUGACUAGAGGACGGUAGAGGCGAGUGGAAUUCCGGGUGUAGUGGUGAAAUGCGUAGAGAUCCGGAGGAACACCAGUGGCGAAGGCGACUCGCUGGGCCGUACCUGACGCUAAGACGCGACAGCAUGGGGAGCGAACGGG
rnacentral:rRNA from 1 species